GACGUAGGAGGCGAGCGUUGUCCGGAUUCAUUGGGCGUAAAGAGCACGUAGGCGGUUUGGCAAGUCGGAUGUGAAAGUCGGGGGCUCAACCCUCGGAAGCCGGUGGAUACUGUCGAGCUAGAGUACGGAAGAGGCGAGUGGAAUUCCUGGUGUAGCGGUGAAAUGCGCAGAUAUCAGGAGGAACACCAAUUGCGAAGGCAGCUCGCUGGGACGUUACUGACGCUGAGACGCGAAAGCGUGGGGAGCAAACAGG
rnacentral:rRNA from 1 species